GCGUUGUUCGGAUUCAUUGGGCGUAAAGGGUGCGUAGGUGGCGGGGUAAGUCAGAUGUGAAAUUUCGGAGCUCAACUCCGAAACUGCAUUUGAUACUGCCUUGCUUGAGGACUGGAGAGGAGACUGGAAUUUACGGUGUAGCGGUGAGAUGCGUAGAUAUCGUAAGGAAGACCAGUGGCGGAGGCGGGUCUCUGGACAGUUCCUGACACUGAGGCACGAAGGCCAG
rnacentral:rRNA from 1 species